AACCCUGUUGCAGCUAUACCGUGUGUGUGAAGAAGGCCUUAGGGUUGUAAAGCACUUUCAAUGGGGAAGAAUUUAAUAUUGCUAAUAUCGAUAUUAGUUGACGUUACCUAUAUAAGAAGCACCGGCUAACUCCGUGCCAGCAGCCGCGGUAAUACGGAGGGUGCAAGCGUUAAUCGGAAUUACUGGGCGUAAAGAGUACGUAGGUGGUUUGUUAAGUCAGAUGUGAAAUCCCUGAGCUUAACUUAGGAACUGCAUUUGAAACUAAUAAACUAGAGUUUCGUAGAGGGGGGUAGAAUUCCAGGUGUAGCGGUGAAAUGCGUAGAGAUCUGGAGGAAUACCAGUGGCGAAGGCGACCCCCUGGACGGAAACUGACACUCAGGUACGAAAGCAUGGGGAGCAAACAGGAUUAGAUACCCUGGUAGUCCAUGCCGUAAACGAUGUCUAUUUGAA
rnacentral:rRNA from 1 species